GUCUUCGUAGUGUAGUGGUCAGCAUACUCGGCACGUAUUCGAGAGGUCCGUGGUUCAAAUCCUCGCGAGGGCA
rnacentral:tRNA from 1 species